UCUAGUUUUACAAAGCACUUGUUUACGGUGCCCACUAGGGUGGGGAACUUUCAUUUUGGUCCACUAUCUAGUUUUACAAAGCACUUGUUUACGGUGCCCACUAGGGUGGGGAACUUUCAUUUUGGUCCACCGGUGGACCAGGGGCAUUUCAGACUUUGCAUUCGGGAUAUUUUAGACUUUUCCCCUUCUCCUUCUUCUCCCUCCCACUCUCCCCUCCUCUCACUUCAACCAACUCCAGCAGCACAAGCACCAUCAGCAGCAGUAGCACUACCAAGAAGAAAACGUCAAGAGGAGUGGGUCGAAGUGAAGAGUUGCAGAUCUGGUGUGAAUCGAAGGGGAGAGUGCCAGAUCUGGUCCGACGGUGGUUGUACGGCUCCGAUCCGGCUCUCAACGGCGAGGAGCAGUGGUGGAGAAAUCUGGGUGUGGGUGGUAGUGUAUCUGGCUCGCUUCUUCAUCUUCUCCAUCGUCUGUGUUUCAGUCUUAGUGAGUCUGGGGCUUGGUUACGCAAAGAAGGGUGCGAUAGAGAUGGAUUUGAUUCUAGGUUGGAGCUUUUGUGAUUUUUGUGGCAAGGACCAAUUUCUCGUGAGGGAGAAGCGACGGAGAAGAUGAAGACUGUGGUGGUUCUAGUUAGGGAUUUGGAGGACAAAAUUAAGGAUCUUUUCUGUUAGCCAUUUUGUGGCUCUUCCCCUUGAUUUUUAUUAGCUAUUUCCUUGCUUUGUAGGCUAUGAAAGCCACUGUUAGUACUCGUAUUGUAUCUUUAGGAGCCUGUUCCUAUUGUUUGUUUUUUAGAAUCUUCAUCUUGUUUUCUGAUGUGUUGUCUGUUGCUUCCUAUUGUACAUAUCUCUGACCUUUUCAUUCAUCAAUAUAUAUUGAACUUUAAAAAAAAAUUAAGGAUCUUGUAACA